UUUGUCCUACGGGACGCAGCAGUGUGGAAUAUUGCACAAUGGGGGAAACCCUGAUGCAGCAGCGCCGCGUGAGUGAAGAAGUCAUUCGUGAUGUAAAGCUCUAUCAGCAGGGAAGAAAAUGACGGUACCUGAGUAAGAAGCCCCGGCUAACUACGUGCCAGCAGCCGCGGUAAUACGUAGGGGGCAAGCGUUAUCCGGAUUUACUGGGUGUAAAGGGAGCGUAGACGGCAGAGCAAGUCUGAAGUGAAAGCCCGCGGCCCAACUGCGGGACUGCUUUGGAAACUGCCCGGCUAGAGUGCUGGAGG
rnacentral:rRNA from 1 species